rnacentral:rRNA from 1 species
AUACGUAGGUGGCGAGCGUUGUCCGGAAUUAUUGGGCGUAAAGCGCGCGCAGGCGGGAAAGUAAGUCUACUCUAAAAGUGCGGGGCUCAACCCCGUGAUGGGGUGGAAACUGCUUUUCUUGAGUGCCGGAGAGGAAAGUGGAAUUCCCAGUGUAGCGGUGAAAUGCGUAGAUAUUGGGAGGAACACCAGUGGCGAAGGCGACUUUCUGGACGAUGUCUGACGCUGAGGCGCGAAAGCUAGGGGAGC